rnacentral:rRNA from 1 species
UACGUAGGUGGCAAGCGUUGUCCGGAAUUAUUGGGCGUAAAGCGCGCGCAGGCGGUCCUUUAAGUCUGAUGUGAAAGCCCACGGCUCAACCGUGGAGGGUCAUUGGAAACUGGGGGACUUGAGUGCAGAAGAGGAAAGUGGAAUUCCAAGUGUAGCGGUGAAAUGCGUAGAGAUUUGGAGGAACACCAGUGGCGAAGGCGCCCUUCUGGACGGUUACUGACGCUGAGACGCGAAAGCGUGGGGAGCAAACAGG